GUGCGCUAGCGCAGUGGUGGUGUGUCUGGCGGACGACCAGUGGGUCGUGGGUUCGACUCCCACACCACC
rnacentral:tRNA from 1 species